CUGUCUCCAGACAUCCGGAGAAAACACAGAUCGAGUUGCUACCUCUGUUAAGCUGGGGAAGGAAAACUGUGAUGCUGCCUGGCACAUACAUAAAAUAUUACAGGCUAUACCUUCAUUGCAGGAGUCUUUAGAGAGCAAAGAUGACACCUGGGAGAACUACUGCCAUGAGUCUUUGCUCUCCCAGUUUUACAGGGCUCUUGUGAGAUUAGCGAUCAUAUAUGUGAGACUAGCAUGUCCCAAUUAGAGGCUGCUCCCUCAGCUUGGAUGACAGAAUGAAACUGCGUGGAACAGAGCUGCAGUGGAUUCACACAACAUGAAGAAUAGGCUUGAUUAAUUUUGUA